AAGAAUGAACAGCAGGGGAGACAGUCCAGUAGAAUAUGGUGGAAGACAAUUUGUGCUCUGGUGAUGGGAGUGAUGUGGCAACAUAUAUCUGAAGGCUUCCCUCUCUAGACCCUCUUCCAUAGAUAUUAAUUGCAAAUGUGACUUGGCCAAUAGAAAGUCUACACGUUCAUGGAUUUCAAUAAGGAAGGCAAAGAGGAUGGAUGGUGAGACAAAACAACUCCAAGGAACUGGAGUGGAAGCCAAAAGUGUGUGUGUGAGAAGAUUCGCCAGAGACAGAGUUGGGGGGCAGAACAGGUGAAUCUACUGAAAUACACUGCUGAGGGUUACCAGCAGGUAAGUCAGGAGAGGUCUGUUGUGCCAUAUGUGGGUUAGCUCCUUGACUGAGGAUCAAGCAUUGCAGAGAUAACCCUGAGACUUAACCCCUGUGCCACCAGGGAGGCCCCUCUCUUUGUA